GAUCAUGACCUGAGCCGAAGGCAGUCGUUUAACCAACUGAGCCACCCAGGCGUCCCAACAGGAAUUUUUUUGAGCAUCUACUCCAUGCUGGGAAUACCACCACGGACAACACAGAGAGUCUCUUUCCUCCUGGAUCUCACCUGGCGGUAGAGGAGAUGGACAAUGAACAAAGAUGAAGAGGGAGUCGUCAGGGAGGCGUGGUUCUCCUAAGAAUCUGAGAAUUUUUCCACCACGUCGAAUUCACUCCAUCAGCGGCUCUGAGAAGCUCCAACAGCUGCGAGGCUGAGAAGCCGGUCAGAUCCCACCUCCAGAGAGAGGCCAGGGGCCCCUCUGUUGUGCACCAGCUGCCAUGGGAGAUCGCAGACCAUGCCAGCCAACGCCCUUGCCAGCCUUUGUUUGGAAGAACACGCCCACAAAAGAGGCUCUUGCCUCCUGAGUGCACAGCUCAAGGCUUUAUCACAAAGUGAGCACGCUGGGGAAGUCAGAUUCAAAAGCAGAAAACUCCAACUCCAUCCUCACUUGAAACACCAUAGAGGCCAACAUUCCUGGUCUCGAAUUCCCUAUAAAGGGAAUUGUGCGGCCGGUUUUCCUUUGGCUUUACGUAAUGUACCCACAUGGGCUUAUGUUGUAGAUUGUUUAUGCUCAUUUCUGUGCCUCAGGGGUUGGCAAACUACAGCCUGGGGACCAAAACCAGCCUGUUGCUCAUUUUAUAAAUAAAGUUUUAUUGGAACACCGCCACAUCUCUUCAUUCACAGUUAUCUAUAGCUGUUUGCUACAAUGGCCGUGGCAGAGACCAUAUGGCCCAGAAAGACGGAAAUAUUUACUAUCUGGCCCUUAACAGAAAAAGUUUUUCAACUCCUGCUGGAUGGCAUUCCAUUGUACAAAUACAACACUAUCUUUUUAUUCAUCCAACUGUGAAUGGGUGUUUGUGUGGUUUCCAGUUUCGGUUUAUUACAAUAGGGCUGCUAAGAACAUUCUAGUCCGGAGGUUGUUAAAUGUUUUCUGUAAAGGGCUGGAUAGUAAAUAUUUUAGACUUUAGGAGCCACAUAUGCUCUUUAUCACUUAUUCCUCUAGUUCUUCUUUUUUUUUUUCCUUUUUACAACUCUAAAAAUAUAAAGCCAUUCUUAGCUCUGGGCCACCCAAAGUCAGGCCAUAGACAGUAUUUGGCCCGCAGACUGUAGUCUGCCAAUCCCUGUCUCUGUAUGCAGAUUUUGGUGAACAUCUGUCCCACACUGUGACUGGGUAUGCCAUGUCCUCUUUUUAUAAUAAACAUUUCUUGGGGCA